ACUCUCUGAGCCUCAGUGUGACUUCAUUUCAGAUGGUUCGUCAAGUAUUCUAUCCGAUGCCAGACUCUUGCUCUCUUCAGGGAGAAAACAAGCAACAGGCACAACUUUGGGAGAUUUUUAUUUGCCAGAUGCAUAAACUCCCGCGUUCACAGAGCUGCUGGAGGGACUUUGCCCUGACCAUGUGUGUAGGAAGUCGUGGCCUCCCAGCGUGCACAGAACCCAGCCUCUGGUGCACAGGCUGAGUUGAUUCCCAGGCACUGUCACUUGAUCUCUCCCCUGCUCUUGCCAGCAUUCAGAAACUGAAAAUAUUUACUUUGUGUUGGCUUGACAAAACCCAGUAAAUAGCAACAUUUGCAGGGCCCAGAACACAUGCCAAAGGAGCAGAGGAAAGAGGGUCCGAAUAGGCCGUUAUACUUACAAGAGGGGUUCUCUGAGCUGGGAUGCGAAACCCAGAGACAGUCAAGUCUCAGAUUUCUUUGGCCUCUGAAGUCAGCAUUUAUUGACCAGGCUUUGGAACCGAAUAAAAGUAUGAUCUGCCCCCAUUUUCACUUCUAAAUCUCUUUCUGGGAAAUGUAGCUGAAAAGGGUUUUCAAGUCAUUUUCUUUGUUUCUAUUAGGCGAUUGCUCAUUCACUCAAUGAGUAAUUUAAUACAUUUUUACUGAACUACCACCAUUUUCUAGGAUCUAUUCUGGGUGAUGGAGAUUCAAUAAAGACCAAAAAGAAUCUCUCAACUCAAGAAAAUAAAUCAACAGGUUAAUUUCAGAUUGAGACAAAAGGUAUGAAAGAAUCAAACUAAUGGAUUUGAUAGAGCAUAACUGUGAAGCUGUGUUAGAUAAGGGAUUAGAGCCGGUUUCUCUGAGAUGCUAGUAUUCGACUCAAGACCUAAAGGGAAAGAGGCAGCCAUGAAAAAAACUAGUACACCAGAUUUUAAGGCAGAAGGAACUGUAAAUGUAAAGAUCCUAUUGGGGCAAGGGUGAGCUUCAUAGACUAAAGGAAUGAAAAGAUCCUGGAGGGCAGGGACCAAGUGAAUGAAGGAUAUGGGGUAGAAGAUACCUAUAUCACUAUCUCACUACCGUUAUUUUUUCAAGCUAUUUUUUUUUAUUCUUGUACACGACGCUGCACCUCUUUAAUCACCAGGAACAUAAAAAUGCUUGAUGUAAGCAGAAUUUCUUACAGAAGUUAAGUGGAAGCAAAAUGAAGCACUGUCAACAUCCUCCAAAGACGUGGUGAAAUGGUGAAGCCCAGGAGGCUAGGCGACACUAGGACACAUGGCCACACAACAACCUGAUCUAAAUUCUAGCUGGAAGGAGAACAGAGCAGAGUCCGCUUUUAACCUGGCCCUGAGCUGCUGAGAAUGAGGAAGAGGCUGCAGCAGAAGGCCAUUUGUCUUUGUUAUUAGGAAAUAAAUCAACCUUUGUUUU